rnacentral:rRNA from 1 species
GAUGAACGCUGGCGGCGUGCCUAAUACAUGCAAGUCGAGCGAACAGACGAGGAGCUUGCUCCUCUGACGUUAGCGGCGGACGGGUGAGUAACACGUGGAUAACCUACCUAUAAGACUGGGAUAACUUCGGGAAACCGGAGCUAAUACCGGAUAAUAUAUUGAACCGCAUGGUUCAAUAGUGAAAGACGGUUUUGCUGUCACUUAUAGAUGGAUCCGCGCCGCAUUAGCUAGUUGGUAAGGUAACGGCUUACCAAGGCAACGAUGCGUAGCCGACCUGAGAGGGUGAUCGGCCACACUGGAACUGAGACACGGUCCAGACGCCUACGGGAGGCAGCAGUAGGGAAUCUUCCGCAAUGGGCGAAAGCCUGACGGAGCAACGCCGCGUGAGUGAUGAAGGUCUUCGGAUCGUAAAACUCUGUUAUGAGUUAAGAACAAAUGUGUAAGUAACUAUGCACGUCUUGACGGUACCUAAUCAGAAAGCCACGGCUAACUACGUG